UACAAAGUGACUAAUGGGGCUUUUACU
rnacentral:piRNA from 1 species